UAAACUUCCAAACUCUUCGGCAAACCCUCGACCAUUCUUCUUCGGCAAACACUCACGCCAUUUCUCAAAACUUCCAAACUCUUUUUUCAUCUAACUCGUAGUCUCCAAAACUUUUCUCGCACACUCGAGUUUCAAUUUCCACAGUAACAGUGACGGUGAUGUUAAUUUCAGUGGUGACGAUUUGCUGCCUCCAAUCACUUUUAUUUUGCUGUUGUCGCCUCAAAUCUCACGGUCUACUUAUGAACAUCUCUAGUUUCAUAUAUGACUACACGUGUUUUGUUUACAUUUGUAGUUUCUAUAGUGUUUGCAUCUUACAAGUGAAUAUGAUGAUGUUGGGGAGAGCUGAAGGGGGGUAUUUACUUGGGAAAAACUAGGGUUUAGUUAUCGCUAUUUGACAGACGGGUGGGUCUGUUCUCUAAUACAACUGUGCCCCUGCAAAUACAGCUUGUAAUCAAAGUUUGUUUUUCGACUUCUUAAUACCUUCUAUAUUAAAGAUUCAAUUCUUGAAAACAUGCUUCCUCUAAGAUAGAAUAAUAAUAUAUAACUUCAAUUGAGGCAUGUUAAUCUCAGAGAAUAAAGCAAAGGAUUCAAGGAUUUAGUCUAAAUAUUUGAUGGUUUUCUUUUACUAGUUUUCAGAAAGAUCGUGCCUCUAGAAGUUGUUGAUUUGGUAUCGAGAUUAUUACAAUACCCCUCAAACCUACGGUGCCAAGCUAUGAGUAUAUGAAUAUAACUUGUAUAUUGUUUUGAUGUAUUUAGAUGCCUUAACCCAUCCUCAAAUGGAAAUACAAGUUUUGAAAAUAAGAUGAUUUACAAAGAAAAUAUGAUGGAAAAUGAUUAUGUAAUGCAGUCAAUUUUGUUUAUUAAUGACCUAGGAAUGAAUUUUGAUUUGGUAUGAUGCCCUCUAGAAUUAUAGUCUCUAUGGUAAAGUCUUAGAAAACUAUUUUGACAAGUUUCCUUUUGGCUCAAUUGUAAACUAGAGGAAGAAGAAGGGGUGAGAUUGUUUUUGGCGGUGUUGACUAUGCUCACUACAAGAAAAAUUGGCAGAUUAUAAUUACCAUGAUAAACCAUGCAAUUGGAGCAUCUAGAGUUGUAAGGAAAGAGUGCAAGACUAUUAUUGCAAAGUAUGGUCAAACAAUAAUGGACCUGCUUUUAUAUGCUUUUUUUCUAAAAUAUCAAUGAAGAUGAUAAAGAUGAGGAAUAUAAAGAGGACGACGCAAGUGAUGAAAUUCAAGAGGACGACAUAAGUGAUGAAGAAGAUGAUGGAGAUGACGAUGAGUUCGAAAAAUUUAAAUGACUUGGACGUUGUUGUUUUAGGUUUCUACUGAAGCAUUAAACUUAAAGAAACUAUUUAUUUUGUCAUUUUGUUAGACUUAGACUUCUAUGUGUUAAACUAGUAGUAUUAAAAUAUGUUAUACAUUUUGGUAAUUUGAGUUAAUGUUUAAGUGUUUAUUAACUAACUUUUGUGGUACAUGCAAUUUAUAUUUGGUGUAAUUAUUGU